rnacentral:lncRNA from 1 species
AACAAGCUGGGAAUGGGUGACUUGUUCUGCCACGCAACCACCAAGAAUAACUAAAAUGUAACUUUCUUCAUCACUUCAAUGGUUCUAUUUUUAUCCUUUUAGAGGUUCAAACCAUGCAUUUCUGGUAUGUAGCUAGUUGAGAAAUCUCCUGCUUGAAAAAGGAAAUGCAAGAUUCAAGCCUUUUGUGCCAAUUGAAAAUUUAAGAAGUUGAAUAUGUAUUCAAGUAAAUUAAGCAUUUUACCUACGCAUGCAUAUCUAUCCUUUCACCUCUUAUGCAGAGAGCUUUCCAGAAAGAAUCUCAAGGGAGAAAUUCCACCAGAGAUCAAUACUAUGGAUGGGUUGGUGGAAUUGUAAGUCCAACUUGCUUCAAGCAAAGCACUUCGUAACCUAUCCUCAUUGCAACUCAUUGUCAUGUCCUCCUUUUCUUCAGGUGGUUGGAUGGAAAUUCUCUUGCAGGGCCACUUCCUGACAUGAGUAAUCUAAUAAACUUGAAGAUUUUGUAAGCACUUGAGGUUAUCUACAAUUUUCCAUUCAUGAAACAAGACAUUAUGUUUCAUCGUGAUUUAGCAUUGUUAUCUUUGAACAUGCAGACAUCUUGAGAAUAACAAAUUAACAGGGACAUUGCCUUCUUACCUGUGUAGUUUGCCCAACUUGCAGGAACUGUAAGUUCAAAUCUCUAACUUUGAGCGUUGUAUGUCAAAUAGGUUGAAUAGAAAGUUAGGUUAUUGUUUCUCUCAUAACAUUUACGAAAAGCUUGCUUGUUAUAUUGACCGUGUGAAUUGUGUGUGGCAGAUAUAUCCAAAACAAUACAUUUUCUGGUGAAAUACCCUCAGAAUUAUUGGCCAAGAAACUCAUCUUUAAGUAAGUACUCCAACUGAUGCCCCACCAUAAGGCUUUAACUGCCUUUGAGAAUGUGGUUUUCUUUUUUUAGAGACAAAGCAUAAAAAAAUAAGUUACAAAUGCCUUAAGAGUCAGGACUCAUCUAGAGGGAGUCAUGGCUUUAUGGAUGACUGCGUUUUUGUUAGUAGAAAUGAAUCUGUUGGUCCCUAUUUCUUGCACGAAGUAUAUGUAGAUUGUGCACUGUAAGACCUGAUAAAACCACUCACGUGUUUGAAGUUGCUAUUUCUUAUCGAAGAGGAGCAGUCUUAAUAAGAACGACAGGGAUGGGACAUGAAGAGGGGUCCUGAUGUGUUUGUUUUACUUCUUUGUGAUCUUACCUUGCAGGUAUGAUGGUAACGUGGGGCUGCACAAAACUGAACGAUACAAGGUGCAUUCUAAGCUUAUAUUAGGAGUUUCAUUGGGGGUGCUUGUGCUUCUGGUUAUUCUACUUUUAGGAAGUUUGCUGUUACUUCGCAAGCUUCGAAGAAAAACAGCACCUUACCAGAAAAAAGGUUCCCACUCGAGAAACCUGCUUAAUAUUUCUAUUAUAGCGCUACCUUUUCUAAAUUAUGUCAUGUCUUGUGGGCUUUAGGUGGUUCUCUGAAUAUCAGCACGAAACGCUCUUCUGCAUACUCGAUCGGCAAGGGGGACGAAGGCAUGGCCUAUUAUUUAUCCCUCUCCGAGCUGGAAGAAGCGACAAAUAACUUCUCUAAGAAAAUUGGUAAAGGCAGCUUUGGGUCAGUCUUUUAUGGGAAAAUGAUUGAUGGCAAAGAAGUUGCCGUCAAGAUCAUGGCCGAGUCAUCUACACAUGGGAAUCAACAAUUUAUGACUGAGGUAGGUCGUUGGCCUAUUAUUGGAUGGAUCUCGUUGUGUUUACAUAAUUUUAUAUUGCUAAAAAUGAAUCAAACGUUUACGCAUAGAUUAGUCCAUUUAAGAUGCCUGUGGUUCUUAUGUUGCCAAGAGAGAACUAUAUACUCUUAACUCAACAACUUUAAAAAAGAAAACGAGGGAGAGUGAAUACAGUUUACAUGUAAAAUAGUACUCGAUUUUACCAAACCUGUAAAUAUCAACAGGUUGCCCUCUUAUCAAGAAUUCAUCACCGAAAUUUGGUCCCUUUGAUCGGAUACUGUGAAGAAGAACAUCAACGGAUACUGGUAUAUGAAUACAUGCAUAAUGGGACAUUGCGAGAUCACUUAUAUGGUUUGUUCUUCCAUCCCGUCUUAAGAAAAGUUCACUUUUCCAGUCCUUCUCCAUUAAUCAUUCAUCGGCAGGUUCUACGACUCAAAAGCACUUGGACUGGCUGGCUCGCUUGCACAUAGCAGAAGAUGCAGCUAAAGGUUCAUCCUAGUGAAAAACUAUAAUUUUUUCUCUGAAUUUUGGCUCUCCAUCUUCAAGCCUUGCCUUCUGCUUCUUCUUCUUCUUUUUAAUUUUUUUUUCUGAAAUGAAUUUAUCAUUUUUCAGGGCUUGAGUAUUUGCACACAGGAUGCAGCCCGAGUAUCAUCCAUCGAGAUGUAAAAACUAGCAACAUACUCCUGGACAUCAAUAUGAGGGCAAAAGUUUCUGACUUUGGCCUCUCAAGGCAAGCUGAGGAGGAUUUGACCCAUGUUUCAAGCGUUGCUCGAGGAACCGUAGGCUAUUUGGAUCCUGAGUAUGCCAAACUUUAUUGCUUUUCCAUGACACAUUUCACCCCCUUCCCCUGCUCAUAAGCAUAACUAUAGACAUAUCAAAAUAACAGGUAUUAUGCUUGUCAACAACUCACCGAAAAGAGCGACGUAUAUAGUUUUGGGGUUGUGCUGCUCGAACUGAUCUCUGGGAAGAAACCUGUCUCACCAGAAGACUAUGGGAAUGAAUUGAACAUUGUUCACUGGGUAUGUAAGAUCUUC